GUGCUUGCUUCAGCAGCACAUAUACUAAAAUUGGAGCAAUGCAGAGAAGAUUAGCAUGGGCCCUGAGCAAGGAUGACACACCAACUCAUGAAGCAUUCCUUAUUUUU
rnacentral:snRNA from 1 species